UACGUAGGUGGCAAGCGUUGUCCGGAUUUACUGGGCGUAAAGAGCGCGCAGGCGGUCGUUCAAGUCGCGUGUGAAAGCCCCCGGCUCAACUGGGGAGGGUCACGCGAUACUGAUCGACUCGAAGGCAGGAGAGGGUAGUGGAAUUCCUGGUGUAGCGGUGAAAUGCGCAGAUAUCAGGAGGAACACCAGCGGCGAAGGCGGCGCUCUGGGCCGGUACUGACACUGAGGAGCGAAAGCGUGGGUAGCAAACAGG
rnacentral:rRNA from 1 species